UGGGUUAAAGCCAGUUGGUUAGGGUAUUUAGCUGUUAACUAAAUUUUUGUGGGUUCGAGUCCCAUUGACCUAG
rnacentral:tRNA from 1 species